GGUAGGGUGGCUGAAAAAAGUAUUGAGUUGUAGCCUCACUUAUAAAGGUUAAGUCCUUUUCUUAUCA
rnacentral:tRNA from 1 species